CCUACGGGUGGCAGCAGUGGGGAAUAUUGGGCAAUGGGCGCAAGCCUGAACCAGCAACGCCGCGUGAAGGAAGAAGGCUCUCGGGGUGUAAACUUCUUUUCUCAGGGACGAAGAAAGUGACGGUACCAGCGGAAUAAGCCACGGCUAACUACGUGCCAGCAGCCGCGGUAAUGCGUAGGUGGCAAGCGUUAUCCGGAUUGACUGGGUGUAAAGGACGUGUAGGCGGGACUGCAAGUCAGAUGUGAAAACCACGGGCUCAACCUGUGGCCUGCAGUUGAAACUGUAGUUCUUGAGUACUGGAGAGGCAGGCGGAAUUCCUAGUGUAGCGGUGAAAUGCGUAGAUAUUAGGCGGAACUCCAGUGGCGAAGGCGGUCUGCUGGACAGCAACUGACGCUGAGGCGCGAAAGCGUGGGGAGCAAACAGGAUUAGAUACCCGGGUAGUC
rnacentral:rRNA from 1 species